AAGACAACCGAGAGCCUCCUGGCAACAGCGCGCGGCCUGCGCCGGUCUCCCGGCCCAUCAGUGCAAUGGCUGCAGCAAGUCCCAGCGUCUUCCUGCUCAUGAUCACCGGGCAGGUAGAGAGCGCACAGGUAAGCAGUCGUGGACUCCGCCCGGGGACGGCCUGUUUCUCUCCCCGGGCUCUUCGCUCAGCUCCUAGAAAGCCAAGAUGCUCUGAGCAUCUCAAAUAAAUGGAAAGGAGAAGCAGCAUUUGAGAACCUUGGCUCCAGGUAGAUGAACCGGACAAGCUUGAGUGAAAACAGACCUCGAGGCGUUCAGCUGGUACCACUUGGAUCCUGUUUACUUGGUUGAGUGGUGGCCUAGGACUAAUGGGACUGAAGACUCAGCUGAUCCAUUUAACAGCUGGGAACUUACCGGAAGGCAGUGGCCAAGGUGGGAUUUGACCCGGUCCGUCUAAGAGACAGAACUUUGCUACAUUAUUCUUCUGGGCUGCUUGUUGAAAAUGCCCAUUAUUCCUACAUAUUCUGAGGUUUGGCUGACAUGCUUUAGGUUCUGCCAAGUCUGAAGCUCAGUAGGUGUUCCUGCCUUCCCAUUCAUUGGUACUGCGUCCUCCCUGUUUUCCUCUAUCCGAUUAGAGGAUGUCUGGGCUGCUUACUCUGGACACCUUCCUUGGCGUCUGCCCUGGGCCUUCCUUUCUCCGGGACCCUCAGUUUUAGCCAUGUUCUUUGGCCCUGUAGCUUCUGGGUUUCACGUGAGCAUCAUUUCUGUAGAGCUAAUUUGUGCCCAGCACUGGAGAUGCGCUGAGGCAUGAAACCUGUUCCUUCUUCAGUCUAACAGGGUUAUCAGAUAGACAUUAGGUACCCACAUGCAGAAAUGCAGAGAAGUGAAGGGAGCCAAGCAAUGAUCCUUAAGCCAGCUAGAGACUGAAGGGGAACUCUGAAAGAUGGGCAAGGGGCCUACCACAUGUGGACUGAGAAAGACAAGACAGAAAGUAGACCCUGAGCAAAAUAACCUACGGGUAUUGGCAGUCUGGGACUAAGCCUGACUUCCUGAUUUCCAUUCCCUGCCCGCCCUGAAACCCAUGUCCACCUCCUCAGUCCCAGAUGCCUCGUGUUCCUAAUUCCUGUCCACUGCAUCUGCCUAGCUAAUGUGUGGGCCCAGUUUGCCCUUUCUAGACAGAAUCCUGUAUACUUUUUCUCUCAGUUUCCAGAGUAUGAUGACCUCUACUGCAAGUACUGCUUUGUGUAUGGCCAGGACUGGGCCCCAACAGCGGUAAGUUGGACUCAUGGGCCUCCUCUGGUUAGAGCUUUGGUGAUUCCUGAAUCAUACCCUUCUAUUCGAGACCAAGAGGUAGACACUAAGGUCAGAGAUGACCUAAACAUUGCAUUUGUUUUUGGGGGAAAGCUAGUUUAUAGAAUACAGUCACUACUGGGUUCGCUGGUGUACCCCUGGAGUCUGUUAGUGGCAGCUGAGAGGGACAAGUAGCAGCCUAACCAGGCAGGCUCUGGAGAACCACCUGCCAGUGGCUUUGGACAGCAUCAGCCAAUACCCCCACCUGAAAACAAAACAUGGCCCCUUCUCAGGCAGCAGAAAACAACCAGGAGCCAGGACAAAAUGAAGGAUCUCUUCUUAAGGUUUUAAGGAGUCUUUUUACCACAGGAAGCGGCUGCAGUGCAGACCACUAUGAUACUAUACAAUAGUUUAAAAAGUGGAAGCCAAACAGGAUAGCAUAUGCCUGUAAUCCAGCACAGAAGGCUGAGGCAGGAGCAUCUCUAGGAAUUCAAGGUCAAGCUGGGCUACAUAUAUAAUACCAAACAAAUGGAAAAAAUAAAAUUAAAGCCCG
rnacentral:lncRNA from 1 species